GAUGAACGCUGGCGGCGUGCCUAAUACAUGCAAGUCGAGCGAACAGACGAGGAGCUUGCUCCUCUGACGUUAGCGGCGGACGGGUGAGUAACACGUGGAUAACCUACCUAUAAGACUGGGAUAACUUCGGGAAACCGGAGCUAAUACCGGAUAAUAUAUUGAACCGCAUGGUUCAAUAGUGAAAGACGGUUUUGCUGUCACUUAUAGAUGGAUCCGCGCCGCAUUAGCUAGUUGGUAAGGUAACGGCUUACCAAGGCAACGAUGCGUAGCCGACCUGAGAGGGUGAUCGGCCACACUGGAACUGAGACACGGUCCAGACUCCUACGGGAGGCAGAAGUAGGGAAUCUUCCGCAAUGGGCGAAAGCUUGACGGAGCAACGCCGCGUGAGUGAUGAAGGUCUUCGGAUCGUAAAACGCUGUUAUUAGGGAAGAACAAAUGUGUAAGUAACUAUGCACGUCUUGACGGUACCUAAUCAGAAAGCCACGGCUAACUACGU
rnacentral:rRNA from 1 species